AACGAACGCUGGCGGCAAGCUUAACACAUGCAAGUCGAGCGCCCCGCAAGGGGAGCGGCAGACGGGUGAGUAACGCGUGGGAACGUACCUUUUGGUUCGGAACAACUCCGGGAAACUGGAGCUAAUACCGGAUAAGCCCUUCGGGGGAAAGAUUUAUCGCCAAAAGAUCGGCCCGCGUCUGAUUAGCUAGUUGGUGAGGUAACGGCUCACCAAGGCGACGAUCAGUAGCUGGUCUGAGAGGAUGAUCAGCCACACUGGGACUGAGACACGGCCCAGACUCCUACGGGAGGCAGCAGUGGGGAAUAUUGGACAAUGGGCGCAAGCCUGAUCCAGCCAUGCCGCGUGAGUGAUGAAGGCCUUAGGGUUGUAAAGCUCUUUUGUCCGGGAAGAUAAUGACUGUACCGGAAGAAUAAGCCCCGGCUAACUUCGUGCCAGCAGCCGCCGUAACAC
rnacentral:rRNA from 1 species